UCCAGUUGGAAGAAACUUGAUUUGAACCAGCCAGCCACUUCUUCCUUGAAUAUUGUACCCAUCCCCACAGGCACUCAUGUGAAUGGACCCCUAGACAGAAGGAAAAGGAGACUCCUGUUUUGUAGUUGUGCUGAGUCAUCUGGUUCCAUUUAAAAGAAGUCAUCCUAACUCAGGCUCUCUGCUGGUAAGAGGCCCUUGGUCGAUGUUGGGCCCCAUGUUUCAGGGUCACAGAUUGCACUUGGGUCCUUCAGCUCUCCGGCCUGGCCUUGUUCAUCACCGCUAAGACUGGGACCCUGAAGCCCAGUGCCUCUUGGACACCUACACAGGAGGACGAUUUCUGGGAAGAGGAGGCAUCAUGGGAAACCCUGUCCCAGGAGACCAUUCCU